AUUAGUCACAAAGAGUCGCCCUAUGAAACCAAGCUAAGCAUCCAUUAAUAAGUAAAAGUGUGAUGCAGGCACACAGUAGAAUACCACUCAGCCACAGGAAGGAACCGCUGCUGUCUGCAGCAACGGAGAUGAGCCUUGAGGACACCGCACUGACUGAGGAUUUCUACAUGUCCAAAAUGUCAGCUAGAAGAAAUCCAUGAGAAUUUUCCUUAAAGGGGGUCGGAUUUUUUGACAAUGAGACAAGUCAUUUCCUGGCAGCACCCCGCUUACCUGAAAGAAGAUAAUGAGCAUUGAAGAACCUCCAUAUGGAGAUGGCUUCAAAUGUGGCAAACAAGCUACUCGGGUAAAGAAAAUACCCUUGCUUCAUGACAGAAAAAUUCUGCCUAAAAUGGGCAAGCUUAAAUGCAGGACAAGUCGACUGCCGAACU